AUUAAGGUUCUCUUAGGAACCACUAAAAUAAACAUUUAGGAAUAGU
rfam:Pteropus alecto contig96600, whole genome shotgun sequence.